AUACUGAGACUAAGGUAGAAAAAGACACUUCCAAAGGGUGUCAAUGACAAGAGAGAAAUAGACAUAGAGUGGUCACUUCAUUUACCAACCCUGGAACCGCAGACCUCUGGGCUUCCUGGCUCUAGGAAUGCAGUGCAAGACAGGCAAGGUUCUUGCUCAUACAGAGCUUCUAGAAACCUGGGAUACAGAGAUGCAAUCAAGUGAUAAAACACAUGGAUGAAGGCUCUGCCAUUGAACACAUGGUUCUUGACAAGCCCACAGAGAGGCACAGCUAAGCCAGCCCUGGGGAGCCAGGGAGGGUUCCCUGGAGGGAGAGAAGCUGGAUCCAGGUCUGAAAGAUGACUUGAAGUCAGCCAUGAGCAAGGAAGAGAUUUUCCAGGCCAAGCGAACAGCCUGUGAGUGGUGCCAUUUGGGAGGAAGAGUUGGAAGAAGAAGAGCGAUAGAUAGAGAGAGGAGACAACAAGGUCCCUCUGGGACAGGCUGAAUUCCAGAUGUCUGUGGGACACUAGGCCAUUGGCUAUGGUGGUCUGAGACCCUAAACAGGGGCCUGGGAUAGGGUUUUAGUCUGGUCACCAUGUACACACGGAGGCAGGGUAUAGAGUGAGAAGAUGGGAUGAUUGAAAGGCCUGGGACACGAGCCAGGGAAACGCAGGAUAGAAAUGACUGGCAGAGGCUGGGCACGGUGGCUUACGCCUGUAAUCCCCACACUUUGGGAGGCCGAGGUGGGUGGAUCACUUGAGGCCAGGAGUUCAAGACCAGGCUGGCCAACGUGGAGAAACCCCAUCUCUACUAAAAUACAAAAAAUUAGCGGGUCAUGGUGGCAUGCACCUGUAAUCCCAGCUACUCAGGAGGCUGAGGCAAGAGAAUCUCUUGAAUCCUGGAGGCAGAGCUUGCAGUGAGCUGAUAUCACGACACUGCACUCCAACCUGAGCGACAGACCAAGACUCUGUCUCAAAAGAAAAAAAAAAAAAAGAGGUGACUGACAGAGAAUGACCCCAGCAAAGGACCAGAGAAGGAGCAGUCCACGGAGGACCACUUGGAGAGGGUGGGUGGGGGGAAACCCAGCUCACAGGAGAAGGUGUGGCCGAUGGUGUGGCAUGCUGCUGAAAGGCCAGAUAAAGAAAAUGGGUACGGCCAAGACCAUAGACCUAGUGAUUGUCAGAUGAACAAUUAGACCCACAGAACCAUCCAAGCUACAGAGGACGCAUUCUGCCUUCCCUUGGAUCCUGUGGUUUGAGGAUGGAGGUCUAGGACCGUGGCAGGCUUUUUGUCCCAUGAGGGAAGGCCAUGGAGCUGAGGAAGGGGAAGAACACACACACCUAAUGGAAUCUCGAGAGAAAGUUCAGACAUCAAAAGACAGAAGCGACAGAGACCCAGGUCUGUGGGGACGCUGUAUGGCUGAGUCAAGUCUUGAUCAAAGUCAGCAUUAUAUCUGGACUUGCACAGUUUCUGAGCCUUGAAACUCCAUUUCGUUUAAGUGAGCUUUUAACUGUCACAGGCAGCUGCAUGCACACACAAGUCCAUGUGAUUAGAUGUUUCCAAGAGUCUGGAAUAACAUACCCCAAACUGUUAAUAGUGGUUACCCUAUAGAAGGGGAGUAGGAAGGUGUGUGUUGGGGUGGAGGAUGGUUUGCCAACUGGAAACUCACUCCAGGCUAACAUUUAUUGCUAGGCACCAUUCUAAACUUUGCCAGUAAUCCUCUCCCUAGAGGCUGAGGAAGACCACUUCUUCAAGCCCUAUUUAAUAGACAGCGUGGCCAGGCAUGGUUGCUCACGCCUGUAAUCCCACCACUUUGGGAGGCCGAGGCAGGUGGAUCACCUGAGGUCAGGAGUUCGAGACCAGCCUGGCCAACGUGGUAAAACCUCUUCUCUACUAAAAAUACAAAAAAAAUUAGCUGGGCUUGGUGGCGGGCACCUGUAGUCCCAGCUACACGGGAGGCUGAGGCAGGAGAAUUGCUUGAAUCCAGGAGGCAGAGGUUGCAGUAAGCCAAGGUCGCACCACUGCACUCCAGCCUGGGUGACAGAGCGAGACUCUGUCUCAAAAAAAAAAAAAAAAAAAAAAAAAAAGAGGAAAGAAAAAUGAAAGAAAGAAAGAAAAAUUAGCUGGGUGUGGUGGCGUACGCCUGUAGUCCCAAGUCCCAGCUACUCGGGAGGCUGAGACAGGAGAAUCGCUUAUCACUGGAGUCCAGGAGGCAGAGAGUGCAGUGAUAUCUCACCAUUGUACUCCAGCCUGGGUGACAGAGAGAGACAUAGUCUCAGAAAACGGAAAAAAAAAAAAAGAGAGAUGGGGAAAUGGAAGAUAUAGGGGUUACAUCACCUGCUCAAAAUUAUGCUGCAAGUAAGUGGUGACACUGGGAUUUGAACUGAGACAGUCUAGCUUCAGGUGGCCGCAUCCUUCCCACUGCAUUCUCCUGCCUCUCUAGCUCCCUCAGUGGGCUGCUGGGUCCCAGGCCUUGGGCUGGCAUGGAUAAUCCCUUCAUGCUCCCCUUGUCACUAAACCCCCCCACCUCACCUGCCAACACACACACAACCACCUGGAGCCCCUGCCAGUGUUUCCUCUUCCUCCCACUUGGCAUGUUGAAGACCAGAAUCACUCCCCUUUCACUCCCCACUUCAUCCCACCUGGGAAAACAGGACCCUGCCGGCCAACUCAGAGCCCCACAGGGUUGCAUUUUAGGUACCGUUUACAUUUUCUUUAAGCCCUGUUCACAUUCUCCAUUCACAUUGGGAAAAAUAUAAAGGGUUAGUAUCCCCAGCAUUGAUGAGGUUCUAAGGCAGAGGGUACGCAGGUGGGACUACAGCGCUUUUUGGGGGACAUUUGGAUAAAAUCCAUCCCAUUGCCGGGCGCAGUGGCUCAUGCCUGUAAUCCCAGCACUUUGUGAGGCUGAGGUGGGCGGAUCGCUUGAGGUCAGGAGUUGGAAACCAGCUGGCCAACGUGACAAAACCCCAUCUCUACUAAAAAUACAAAAAUUAGUUGGGUGUGGUGGCGGGCGCCUGUAAUCCCAGCUACUCAGGAGGCUGAGGCAUGACAAUUGCUUGAACCCGGGAGGCGGAGGUUGCAGUGAACGGAGAUUGUGCCACUGCACUCCAGCCUGGGGGAUACAGUAAGACUCUCUUUUUUGAGAUGCGUUUCUCUCUUUCACCCAGGCUGGAGCGCAGUGGUGCGGAUCUUGGCUCACUGCAACCUCAGCCUCCCAGGUUCAAGCAAUUCUCAUGCCCCAGCCUCCCGAGUAGCUGGGAUUACAGGCACAUGCCACCAUGCCCGGCUAAUUUUUGUAUGUUUAGUAGAGAUGGGGUUUCACCAUGUUGUCCAUCCUGGUCUCAAACUCCCGACCUCAGGUGAUCCACCCGCAUCAACCUCCCUAAGUGCUGGAAUAAUAGGCAUGAGCCACCGUGGUCAGCCGAGAAUGCACAUACUCUCUCCAUUCUUCCUCCAUGCGUACGCCCAUUUCUGCCUUGGUUGCCCACCUCUGACCACAAUCCAGAACUAACCACUCCACUUUUAGGAAAGUAUCCUACAGAAAUAGCUCAACAAGUACACUGGCUACAGCAUUCCUGUAAAUGGUCAGAGGCCAUGGAACUCCAACAGCUGCCAAAAGGAAAAAAGUAGCUCUGGGCCAGGCAUGGCGGCUCACACUUGUAAUCCCAGAGCUUUGGAAGGCCAAGGCAGGAGAAUUGCUUGAGGCUAGGAGUUCGAGACCAGUCUGGGCAACAUAUUGAGAACCUGUCUGUGCAAAAAAAAUUUAAAAAUUAGCGAAGUGUGGUGGUGUGUGCCUAUAGUCCCAGCUACUUGGGAGGCUGAGGUGGGAGGAUCACUUGAGCCCAGGAGUUUGAGGUUACAGCGAGCUGUGAUAGCAUCACUGCACUCCAGCCUGGGUGACAGAGUGAGACCCUGACUCAAAAACAAAAGUAACUCUGACUUAGGAACAGGCACAGAGGAGAUCAUGGUACACUGUUGAUAAAACAAUUUGCAGAAUAAUUUGUAGAAUACGACCCAAGUUUUUUAAAACAAUAAAAACAAAACACACAACAUAAGCAUAUAGAAAAUUGCCUGAGCUUUCCUCAGCUGCUGCCAAGGUGUUCGGUCCUUCCGAGGAAGCUAAGGACACAUUGAGGUGAGGCCCUCACUUCAUCCAGUGACUAGCACUGCGUCCGGCAGCGCCAGUCCCACACUCGCCCGCGCCAUGGCCUCCAUCUCCGAGCUCGCCUGCAUCUACUCAGCCCUCAUUCUGCACGACAAUGAGGUGACUGUCACAGAGUAUAAGAUCAAGGCCCUCAUUAAAGCAGCUGGUGUAAAUGUUGAACCUUUUCGGCCUGGCUUGUUUGCAAAGGCCCCGGCCAAUGUCAACAUUAGGAGCCUCAUCUGCAAUGUAGGGGCUGGAGGACCUGCUCCAGCAGCUGGUGCUGCACCAGCAGGAGGUGAUCCACCCGCAUCAACCUCCCUAAGUGCUGGGAUAAUAGGCAUGAGCCACCGUGGUCAGCCAAGAAUGCGCAUACUCUCUCCAUUCUUCCUCCAUGCGUACGCCCAUUUCUGCCUUGGUUGCCCACCUCCACUGCUGCUGCUCCAGCUGAGGAGAAGAAAAUGGAAGCAAAGAAAGAAGAAUUUGAGGACUCUGAUGAUGACAUGGGCUUUGGUCUUUCUGACUAAACCUCUUUUAUAAUAUAUUCGAUCAAAAGCUGAACUUAGUGGUAAAACCAUGUCUCUACUAAAAAUAAAAAAAUUAGCCGGGCAUGGUGGCGCAUGCCUGUAAUCCCAGCUCCUAAAAAAAAAAAAAAAAAAAAAAAAAAAAAAAAAAAAAGCUGAACUUAAAAAGAAAAGGGAAAGAAAGAAAAUUGCCUGAAAGGAUAAACACCAAAAUGGUGAGAAAGGGAAGUAGAAUUAGGGAGGACCUGGUGAGUGGGAAAAUUUUCAUUUAUUAUCUGCAUACGUCAAUAUUGUUCAAAUUUUUACUUUAAGAAGACCUUACUUUUGCCGGGCAUGGUGGCUCACGCCUGUAAUCCCAGCACUUUGGGAGGCCAAGGUGGGCGGAUCACCUGAGGUCAGGAGUUCGAGACCAGCCUGACCAACAUGGAGAAACCCUGUCUCUACAUUUAAAAAAAAAUCUUAAAAAAAAAUUCUAAAAUGCAACAGAUUUUUUUUUUUUUUCCGUCCCGGGUUCAUGCCAUUCUCCUGCCUCAGCCUCCCGAGUAGCUGGGACUACAGGCACCCGUCACCACACCCAGCUAAUUUUUUGUAUUUUUAGUAGAGACAGGGUUUCACCAUGUUAGCCAGGAUGGUCUCGAUCUCCUGACGUCGUGAUCCACCCACCUCGGCCUCCCAAAGUGCUGGGAUUACAGGCAUGAGCCAAAGCGAUCGGCCAAAUGCAACAGAUUUUUUUGUUUUGUUUUUGUUUUUGUUUUCAGAUGGAGUCUCACCCAGCCUGGAGUACAGUAGUAUGAUCUGCAACCUUUGCCUCCCAGGUUCAGGCGAUUCUCCUGUCUCAGCCUCCGGAGUAUCUGGGAUUACAGGCACGUGCCACCACGCCCGGCUAAUUUUUUGUAUUUUUAGUAGAGAUGGGUUUCACCGUGUUAGCCAGGAUGGUCUCGAACUCCUGACCUCGUGAUCUACCCGCCUUGGCCUCCCAAAGUGCUGGGAUUACAGGCAUGAGCUACCGUGCUCGGCCAUGCCUGGCUAAUUUAUAUAUACAUAUAUAUAUAUAUAUAUAUUUUUUUUUUUUUUUUUUUUUUUUUGAGACAGAGUCUUGCUCUGUCACCCAGGUUGGAGUGCAGUGGCAUGAUCUCGGCUCACUGCAAGCUCGCCUCCCAGGUUCACGCCAUUCUCCUGCCUCAGCCUCCUGAGUAGCUGGGACUACAGGCGCCCGCAUGACGCCCGGCUAAUUUUUUGUAUUUUUAGUAGAGACGGGGUUUCACUGUGUUAGCCAGGAUGGUCUCGAUCUCCUGACCUCGUGAUCUGCCCACCUCAGCCUCCGAAAGUGCUGGGAUUACAGACAUGAGCCACCGCACCCAGCCUUAUAUAUAUAUUUUUUAUUAGUGAAGAGGUUUCGCCAUAUUGGCCAGACUGGUCUCGAACUCCUGACCUCAGGUGAUCCACCCACCUCGGCCUCCCAAAGUGCUGGGAUUACAGGUGGGAGCCACCGCACCCUGCCUAAAAUGCAAAAGAUUUUGAAUGGCGAGAAUGGCGACAUGAUGCCACAAGUGGAAAAUUCCACACCUGGCUGCAUGUAAUGGGUUGAAGUCAAAAUGCAGUCAAAAACUUUGUUUCAUGUACAAAAUUAUUAAAAACAUUGUAUAAAAUCACCUUCAGACUAUGUGUAUGUGAAACCUAAGUGAAUUUAAUGGCUAGACUUCAGUUGCAUUCCCAAGAUCUCUCAUUAUGUAUAUGCAAAUAUUUUGAAAUUCAACCUGGUUCCACACAUUUUAGAUAAGGGAUACUCAAGCUGUAAUUAACAAAUAAACUUUUCACAGUCCAAGCAGCCAAAGGCCCACUGUCCCUGUUCCCUCAGCUCACGCCCCCUUCCGUGCACAGCCUUAUCUAAUCCUUCUACCCUUC
rnacentral:lncRNA from 1 species